UUCUUUGGAGAGAGCUUGUCUCUCUUACUUCUCUCUCCUCAUUUUCUCUCUCUAGCUUUUUUGGAGAGAGACUUCGGCGGAUCAUAACUUUUGAUCCGUAACUCCGAUUUAGGAUCCGCAAAAAGCUACGGAUUCGUCUUGAUGUCCUCUUUAUAUCCAUAGAGGUUUGAGCUAGAUCCAACGGUGAUUUCUUGAAUGCUCGUUUUAGGAGGCUCGGUUAAUGAUCGGUAUUCUAAGAGGCGAUUCAGAUUUUCGAGAGAAGUACUUAGGUUUUGACGAGCCUUGAAUGAAGAGCCUAGAAGGAAGAUUUUAUUUACAUUCUGCUUUGUAACACUCACACCUCAGAUUCAGGGUCAGGUGCUUAAAUUCCACCGACACCGGGUCCGGGGCGUGACAUCAGUACUGAUCCAUGGGCACAUUGUAACGUCCUAAAGAACAAAGUAUACAGGGUUAAGACCCACUGCACCCACCUGUAAGAGAUGGAACAUUAUUAGACAAAAGAAAUAACAACAAAAAAAAGAAAUUAGGCCCAAAACACAGCCCAGACCCAAAGGCACUCAAACCCUAGCCAAACUUCCAAGCUGCAUCAGCCACCACGCCUCCACCACGGUUACAAGACUCUAGCCACCGCCACGAGUAGCCGUCGGCCACCAUCCACUCCUCCAUUAUCGCCAGCACGCCGACAAGAGCACCUCCCGUCCUCCCCGCAUGGUUCCGAAACACCCAUCAGAUCGGAGAACUUCGAUCCGAAAAAGCCUGUCGAAACCCCGCCUCACACUAACCUGCCAGCCACCGCCUAUCAAGGGAUAGAACACCGGUACCAGCAGGUUGCUCCCUCUAGAAUCUCUUAGCGAUCAGAAAACGCAGGACCACCACAAGGCUUGCAAGCUCGUCAAGGUUCGAUCUACGCCGCCGCAGCACAGGCUGAGAUAUGGCUAGCAAAAAAAAGAUCCCCGCCCGGCUGCACUCACCAACCAGGCAAAAGCCUGACAAGGCGCGGGAGCCGCCGGACGAGAGCCUCCAA